UACAAUAAGGCUUUCUUGGGUGGUGGCUCACUCCCUUUUAUGAAAGGGGGUGAUGCAUAUGACAGUAUUCGAAUCGCUGAUGCUAAUGAUUUCCUUUGGAACAUUGGUCGCGACAAUACUGUUUAACGAAAAAAAGUAACCACCCUAUAAGCCUGGCAAGCAAGUUAGGGUAGUUACUAUUUUAACGCUCUAACGUGUGAGUCGCCCCCAUUUAGGGCUAUUGUACAGGCCGUUGGUGUUAAACCAACGG
rnacentral:sRNA from 1 species